rnacentral:rRNA from 1 species
UACGUAGGGGGCAAGCGUUGUCCGGAGUUACUGGGCGUAAAGCGCACGCAGGCGGUCUCUUAAGUUUGGAGUGACAGUUGGUGGCUUAACUGCCAAAGUGCUUCGAAAACUGAGAGACUUGAGGGCUUCAGAGGGACACGGAAUUCCGGGUGGAGUGGUGAAAUGCGUAGAGAUCCGGAGGAACACCAAUGGCGAAGGCAGUGUCCUGGGAAGUACCUGACGCUCAGGUGCGAAAGCUAGGGGAGCGAACAGG